rnacentral:misc_RNA from 1 species
GAUGAAGAACGUAGCGAAAUGCGAUAAGUAAUGUGAAUUGCAGAAUUCAGUGAAUCAUCGAAUCUUUGAACGCACAUUGCGCCCGCUAGUAUUCUGGCGGGCAUGCCUGUCCGAGCGUCAUUUCAACCCUCAAGCCCCCGGGCUUGGUGUUGGGGAUCGGCGAGCCUCCGCGCCCGCCGUCCCCUAAAUGUAGUGGCGGUCUCGCUGUAGCUUCCUCUGCGUAGUAGCACACCUCGCACUGGGAAACAGCGCGGCCACGCCGUUAAACCCCCAACUUCUGAACGUUUGACCUCGGAUCAGGUAGGAAUACCCGCUGAACUUAAGCAUAUCAAUAAGCGGAGGA